rnacentral:rRNA from 1 species
AUUGAACGCUGGCGGCAGGCUUAACACAUGCAAGUCGAGCGGGCGAGGUUGCUUCGGUAACUGAGCUAGCGGCGGACGGGUGAGUAAUGCUUAGGAAUCUGCCUAUUAGUGGGGGACAACAUUCCGAAAGGGAUGCUAAUACCGCAUACGUCCUACGGGAGAAAGCAGGGGCUCUUUAUGACCUUGCGCUAAUAGAUGAGACUAAGUUGGAUUAGCUAGUUGGUGGGGUAAAGGCCUACCAAGGCGACGAUCUGUAGCGGGUCUGAGAGGAUGAUCCGCCACACUGGGACUGAGACACGGCCCAGACUCCUACGGGAGGCAGCAGUGGGGAAUAUUUGACAAUGGGGGGAACCCUGAUCCAGCCAUGCCGCGUGUGUUAAGAAGGCCUUUUGGUUGUAAAGCACUUUAAGUGGGGAGGAGGCUUACCUGGUUAAUACCUGGGCUAAGUGGACGUUACCCACAGAAUAAGCACCGGCUAACUCUGUGCCAGCCGCCGCAGUAACAC